UCCCUAAUGGCUCAAAAGGUAAAGAAUCUGCCUGCAAUGCAGCAGACCCAGGUUCUUUACCUGGGUUGGGAA
rnacentral:tRNA from 1 species